AGUAAUGGCGCUGGCUGUAAACAACGAAGUCGUUUUAGAAAAUAUUUUUACUAUUAAUCGGAUCUGUUAUAAUGUGUGCCUUGGCGAAACACAUUUAGAAUGGUUUGAAACAAAUGAAGGAAUAUUCGAAAACGGAGAUCUGCAUCAUUCGAAAAAAUCUGUUCCAAUAGAACAAAUUCUCUGCAUAAGGGAAGAAUGUAAAGGCAGCGAAAGAAAUUGUUUUUCUGGUUUGCAUUCUAGAUCCUACGUAAGUUGAUAGUUGUUGAAUGUUAACAUAAGUAGAAAUUUUCAUUCGCAAACCUAUAACAGUUGCUGUCUGGCUAUCAUUCACUGGUAAUUCAAGCUUAAUCUAAAACAAAUCAUUUAUAAAUUUCUAUAAAACCCUUACUCUCAGUACCUUAGCUCUCUUUCUUUACAUUUGUAACAUAUAUUAAAAAUUAAAUAACUAGCUGUUCUUUAGUAUUUUAUUUUCAUUUCUUGUAGAAAUCUUUCUUAAAGAGUUAAAAGAGAAAAAAGAAAAUCGUUUUAAGAACAUUGAUUUUGAGAUAUUUUAAAAAAUUCCACAGCUUUUCAAAAUAUUUUCAUGUACCAGACUUCAUUUUAAGAGUAUUAUAAUAAAGUUAAUUUAUCUUGUUUUAUUUGUAUACUCUAUUAUUUCUAAAAUUUGAACUGUCCUAGUUUGAACAAUUUCGAUUGUAAUGCCCCCUAUACUAUUAUUAUUUUUCAUAUUUUAUUAUUAUUAUCUCAAUGUUACUAUUAUAGAGCUAUUUUCCAACUUAAAUAUAAUAUGAUUGGUUUUUCAUUCAUGUUUUUGGAGUAUACAGUUCAAAAUCAGUCAAUGAAUUAGACAGCAAAUGUUAAAAUUUCCUUACAGAGUCAAACAGUCGUACCCUGCUUAUCGGCUGAAAUUUGGUACAUGCAUAAGAAAAAGGCUGAUAGAUGGCGACUAAAGCGUCUUGUUAUUACAUCUCCACAUGAUACAAUCGUUUCAAAAUGGUUACAUUUUGGACAAGAAAUUUUAAGAAAGCAUGUUAUUAAACGCCCAAAGAGAUUAUUAAUUUUUAUUAAUCCGAUUAGCGGUAGUAAGUCUGGAGUAAGAAAAUUCAGAAAAUGUGUUGAACCAGUUUUUAGGAUGGCCAAUAUCGAAACAGUUGUUGUAAGAACCAAACACAAAAAUCAUUGCAGAGAUAUCUUAAAGAACCAAAAUCUGUCUCUCUAUGAUGGAAUUUGUUUAGUCGGUGGAGAUGGUCUCUAUUCUGAAGCCAUACAUGGUUUACUACCAGAUUCAUCACUUCCUAUCUCAAUUAUUCCGUGUGGUAGUACAAAUGCUGUAGCCUGCUCUAUUUGUGGACCUAAAGUCGAUGCAAUAAGUGCCGCUCUUCAGGUUGUAAGAGGCUGCCAAAUAUCAUUAGACGUAUCAAAUAUAUAUGCAGAAGAUCGACUAAUAGCUCAUCAUACUUGUAUGCUUUCUGUUGGAUACUUUGGGGAUCUUUUGGCAAGAGCUGAGCCUUGGAGAAGAAUUCUAGGAAAACGUCGCUACGACGCAGCUGGAUUUAGAACAUUGUUAUCUAUGAGAAGUACCCGUGUUCGAAUUACCUAUAAAAAGAUACCUGAUGUGGUGGAUUCUGUGUGCCACGAAAACUGUCUUCGUUGCAGUCGGGAAGAUGAUAAUUCAAGUUUAGAAGAACGUCGCAUUGAAAGAAAUGUUGCCGUUUUCAGUAUUUUUACAAUUUCAUGCAGGUGUCCCAUGUCUACGACUGGAGGAAGUCCUUACAGUCAUUUGGGAGAUGGUUGUGCAGUUAUCUUAAUCGUUAAUGAGUGCUCCAGAUUUCAAUUCUUGAGAUUUCUAAUAGCUCUAGCAAAAGAUAGCACGAACGCAUUAAAGUUGCCAUAUGUUGAAUCCUUUAGAACAACUGAUGUAAAAGUUGAAGUGUUAGCUGCGUCAAUGGACACGCCAAAUUGGAAUUGCGAUGGGGAAGUCGUACGUGAAAGAUCUCUUCAUGUUAAAAUGGAGAGGAAAGCAAUAAAUGUCUUUGCCAACGGUGUUGAAAAAGUUGAAAAGUCUAACAAGAAAUGUUGUAGUCUAUGCACGUCUCGAGCAGAUGAUGAUUUUUGAUUUUUAAUCUGUUUCCACAUAAUUGGAAACAAGAAAAAAGUUCACUUUUUGCAAUUUCGUCAUCGAACUGAUAUCUUUUAUAAAGAGAAAAGAAAAUAAUAAUAAUCUCAGAAAUAUUUUAUCAACUGCAUCUGGUCUCAAUUUUUUUUUAGUGACAUAUUUUUUUUUUUAACAAUCAAAUCAAGCAAUGCAAUGCACAUUCUAAUCUAUGUAUAUAUAUAUAUAUAUAAAUUGCAGAUUUUCUCUUUGUUAAUUAUAUCCAUCACUUUUAGAUUAGGAUACCAAUUCCUAAUUAAUUUAAUUAAGAACUGCGUGAUAAGUUAUUAAUGUAUAUUUAUUAUACCAAACAUAAGAAAAUUUCCUAUGUUUGUUCGUUCAAAAGAGUUUUUAAUACAUUUCUGUCAGAAUAAAAUAUGUUCAAUUUUUAUUUGUGUUACUUUCCUUGUAUUUUCUUUUUAGUUUUUUAGUAUUAUAUUUUAUUUUUAUCUUUUUAUGACUGAAAAAUGUCAAAAAACUAUAUUUUCUUGUCAAUAGAGCAAAUAUGAAAGGUAGAUAACUGAUAAACAAACAUUAAAAUAUACUUUUAAAAUUGUAAUAAGAGGUUAUAUAUAGAAUGAAUUUAUCAACUUUUGCGCAACAAUUAUAUGUAAAUGUUUUUCGUGCGUGCUAAAUUUGUCUUUUUUUUUGUCUAUUUACAUGUAACUAUACCGGUUUAAAGUUUUGUUUAUUAUCUACUAAUUCAGCCCUGAUUUGAUCAGCUACUCGAUAUUUAAUUUAUAUUGAAAUUAUACCAAAUAUACUUAUUUUGUUCGCAAAUCAAAUACAAAUAUUUGAAGGUUUUCCAGGCAGAAUUUAGUUGUAAAAGUUGGUUAUUUUUUUGGUCUUAAACGUGUUUAUUUUCUUUUUCUCUAACAAUAGGUGGC
rnacentral:misc_RNA from 1 species